rnacentral:rRNA from 1 species
UACAGAGGGGGCAAGCGUUGUUCGGAAUUACUGGGCGUAAAGGGCGCGUAGGGGGCCCGCUAAGUCGAACGUGAAAUCCCCAGGCUCAACCUGGGAACUGCGUCCGAUACUGGCAGGCUUGAAUCCGGGAGAGGGAUGUGGAAUUCCAGGUGUAGCGGUGAAAUGCGUAGAUAUCCGGAGGAACACCAGUGGCGAAGGCGACUUUCUGGCCUGUUCUUGACGCUGAGGCGCGAAAGCUAGGGUAGCAAACGGG